rnacentral:rRNA from 1 species
AUUGAACGCUGGCGGCAGGCCUAACACAUGCAAGUCGAACGAGUGGCGGACGGUUGAGUAAUGUCUGAGAAACCGCCCUAUGGAGGGGGAUAACUACUGGAAACUGUAGCUAAUACCCCAUACCCUAGUAUGCGCCCAGAUGGGAUUAGCUAGUAGGUGGGUUAAUGGCUCACCUAGGCGACGAUCCCUAUCUGGUCUGAGAGGAUGAUCAGUCACACUGGAACUGAGACACGGUCCAGACUCCUACGGGAGGCAGCAGUGGGGAAUAUUGGACAAUGGGCGAAAGCCUGAUGCAGCCAUGCCGCGUGUGUGAAGAAGGUCUUCGGGUUGUAAAGCACUUUAAGCGGGGAGGCGUUACCAGCAGAAUAAGCACCGGCUAACUUCGUGCCAGCAGCCGCGGUAAUGC